rfam:Agrilus planipennis Contig31703, whole genome shotgun sequence.
GGGUUUUUAGUCGGUAGGCGCUCCCUCCAGGAGUGAAUCCGACACUACCCCCCUACCCCCUUUGGGGGGUAUCUUUAGAAGAUUUCCC